GCCUUGCGGGAUGAUGACGUGAUCGCGUAUCUCCUCGCUGGUUUUAGCCCUGACUAUAAUCCCUUUGUCACCUCGAUGAAUACCAAGAGUGAAAGCCCUCACACUUUAUGAUGUGUUUGCACAUCUAAUGGUGUUUGAAGC